ACAAGCCCGCGGUAAAAAAAAAUAAAAAUAAAAAUAAAAGGAAGAAGAAGGCAGAGUGGCUGAGGUGCGUCCGGCUCGCGCCCCGCGGAGCCCCUGCGGGUGGCGGGACUCAGGGCCCUCGUCCAGGUGUUUCACCAGAGUCUGCACAGCCAAUCAGCGCUCGCCGUGCGCGCAGCACACCUGCCCCGCACGCUAAGCGCGGAGCCCAGGUGUAGCCUCAGGACCCGGGCGCCGGGAGGGCUUGACGCGCGCCCACCGAGGGGCGCCGGAGGCGGAGGAGGCGGAGGAGGGCAGGCGCGCCCCUACGCACGCACCCAGGGGAAGGAUGCUCCGGCUCCACUGCUCACGCCCUAUUCGUGCUACUCCUCCAAAUCCCUGGUCUUUCCUCUCCUCGCCGCCUCACCCCUCAAUGGCCUGCUUGCUCCCCAGAUGAAAGCGAAUAAGAUUCUGGCUGGAAUUGCCCAGAUUUUACUUUGCGCCAAAAUAAUAGCCUAACGUGCGUCGAGAGAGAAAAGGCAGGAGGCGGGGGCGACGGAGGAGGCAGGAGCUUCCCGGACCCCUCGGCCCCUCCGAGACCCUCCGCGCCGGCGCCGGCGAAGGUCCCGUGGGCACCGUUUGACCGCCGGGGCGCGCAGCCGAGUCCCAGGGCGGGAGGCGGCCGGUGGGGUCCCCGGGGACGCGCCCGCCCGCCGCGGGGGUACCUGGCGACGCCCGAGGGCGGCUGCGGGAGGGGCGGCGGGGACGCGGCGGCUCGGCGGGCACCGCUGUUCCUCCGCUGCCGUCGCCUCCGCGGGCCUUCCCAGUCCCGGGGGGAGGGGGCGGACUUGUUACUUCUCGCCGUUGCCAUAGCGACUGCAGCCACGCGCGGAAACGAGUCCGUGAACCGGUCCUGGCGCGCGCCCGAGUCCCGGAGGCUUUGCCAGGGGGCUCCCCAGAGACAGUUGGAAGUCAGGGCUGCGGGGUGGAGGGGCAGCCUGGUGGCAUUAUCCUGCAGUCGUGAUAUAAACGAUGAGGCACCCGAGGGGUAG
rnacentral:lncRNA from 1 species